ACCCCAAUUGCACUAUUGCAAGUAUUUCUUCUCUGUACAGUCCAUGACAGUUUUUCUCAUUAGAUUUGCCCAUUCAAUAGAUGAAGAUAUUGUCUAUGGCUGUGUUACGGACGUUGAAGCAUUUGUUCUUAGGCCUCUUUCUUCAAGGGUAUUGAUGAAAACUAGUAAACUUUCUAAAUUUCAAUGAAUAAAUGGAGGAAUUAGUUUAGCACACUACCUUGUUAUCAAGAUUAGGGCAAUCGCUGGUCAUUAAUGUGCAAGUGUAAAUGAUUCAUUAUUGUAGCCUGUAGGAUAUGGAUGGAGAUUUGUUUCAUUCAUAUUAGAGUAUAUGAUUCGGUGCUUUAAGAGUGAUGUCAAAAGAGAUGAAAUUUGUUUUGUUGUCUUUGAGGAACCUUUAACUAGGGUUUGAUUAAACCAUGGCUGGCUACUUAUUCCUACGUACAUGUAAAUUGACUCACGUACUUCUACUUUCAGUUAAAGGAGGAAAAAGGUUCCCUCA